AAUGAACGUUGGCGGCGUGGAUCAGGCAUGCGAGUCGUGCGAGAACCGUAGCAAUACGGGGACAGCGGCGAAAGGGAGAGGAACACGUGGAUACCUACCCUCAGGUUCAGGAUAGCUAUGGGAAACUAUAGGUAAUACUGAAUAAUAUCUCCGGAUCAAAGGUGUGAUUCCGCCGGAGGAGGGGUCCGCGUCCUAUUAGCUAGUUGGUGAGGUAAUGGCUCACCAAGGCGAAGAUGGGUACGGGAUGUGAGAGCAUGAUCCCGCUCAUUGGGACUGAGACACUGCCCAGACACCUACGGGUGGCUGCAGUCGAGAAUCUUCGGCAAUGGGGGAAACCCUGACCGAGCGACGCCGCGUGUGAGAUGAAGGCC
rnacentral:rRNA from 1 species